UACAGAGGGGGCAAGCGUUAUUCGGAAUUAUUGGGCGUAAAGGGCGCGUAGGCGGCUUCGCAAGUGGAAGGUGAAAUCCCUCGGCUUAACCGAGGAACUGCCCUCCAAACUGCGUGCGUUGAGGCCGGGAGGAGUGAGUCGGAAUUCCCAGUGUAGCGGUGAAAUGCGUAGAUAUUGGGAGGAACACCAGUGGCGAAGGCGGCUCACUGGACCGGUUCUGACGCUGAGUGCGCGAAAAGCGUGGGGAGCAACAAGGAGUUAGAAAUCCCAGUACCGUCCAC
rnacentral:rRNA from 1 species